GCAGUGAGUGUCUCAAAGGAUAGCCUAAUCAUAUUAUCAAAGUGUCAUUUGGCAUAAUAUGAACCUGUCCAUGAAAAUAGCAUGGUAGUAAUAAAACAAUAAUCUACCUCCUGCUGUUAUAUUCGAGCUUCCUCAGACAAUUUAGCGACAUGUGCGUGUUUACAUUCAAGUGUGUGUCACUCGAUUGAGGGUGUCAUCAAACAAAACAGCCGACCUGAAGAUCAAUGGAUCUUGUUCACACUCAUGCUCACAAGCUGUCCGUCACUCUUGUUAAAUUCUCAGAGGCCUGCAUAAUGUUUAUUUUGUUUGCAAGAUGAAGAGUAUGUUUGGUUAGGUGGGUCCUACUUGUUGUAACACUAAGAGAAUCCCUGUGAUGCGUGUCUCUGCAGAGGAGUACAACCCUGGACCCUUAAAAAUGCCGUCUGCACCCACAGCCAUCUGCAGUUAUCUUGAAUCCAAGCCACACUGCUCGCCUGUCACAGGGUAGUCCUCUCCAAAGUUUGUCUUCAAAAUGACUCCAUCAGUGCAAAAAAAAAAAAAAGAGAAAGAAAGAAAAAAAAGUUUGUACAGAAGAGAUGUGUAACCAAGCACAAAGCCUUCUUCUUUUUUUUAACUUUGGAUAAUUUUAACACCAAAAGAAUGCAAGCAAUCAUAUUAAUGAAAAACAACAUAAUGCUGUCCUGUUUGUGGACCCGUUUACCAUCUGCUAUCAAUCACCCUGAGGUCUGGGGGAAUGGCUUUGGCUCAGAUCCUCUCCUCUCCUCUCCUCUCCCUCUCCUUCUCGGGCAGCGUCACAGAGGCACAGAGUGUGGACUCCCGCUCAUGGGAAACCCAGCGCUCCCCGGAGGAUAAAACACUGGAGCCACUCGACAGCUCGGCUAACAAUAAUAAAAAAACGCCCAUCUUUGAGGUGACAUUCCCAAUUUACGAUUAUUUGUGUCUAUAAAGUGUGUUCCUUGGCUCCUGAUUCCCUCUGACUCUCUCGGGUCAAGACAAAAAAAGAAAAAAGAAAAAAAAAAGCAAUCCAUUCGGACUGCACAAGACCAUUGGAGAGAAUAAGAUGAAUGCAAGCUUUACUGAAUCAACUGCUCUUUCUACCUUUCUGCUCUCAGUUGGGGCUGAUCAAUUUCAGAGACAGCCCUUCAUCUCAUUGGUUUCUGGGAAACACUGAAUCCAUUCGAUCGUCGUAAAAUAUUCAUUUAUGGGUGUGCUCACAUUGAGACACUUUAAGCCCCCAUAUGCGUCCUCCUUAUUGCUGUGUACUUGUGUACAUGUACGUACUUCUUAAGUAAUAUUGGUACGUUAGUACGUGUUAUUACGCUACUCACCCUGAGUUUAAAUCUAACCUUAGCC
ensembl:lncRNA